CGGUUGUCCCGGUUUAAGCGUGUAGGUGUGUGUUCCAGGUAAAUCCGGUUCACUUUAACACUGAGGCGUGACGACGAGGCACUACGGUGCUGAAGCAACAAAUGCCCUGCUUCCAGGAAAAGCCUCUAAGCAUCAGGUAACAUCAAAUCGUACCCCAAACCGACACAGGUGGUCAGGUAGAGAAUACCAAGGCGCUUGAGAGAACUCGGGUGAAGGAACUAGGCAAAAUGGUGCCGUAACUUCGGGAGAAGGCACGCUGACACGUAGGUGAAGUGAUUUACUCACGGAGCUGAAGUCAGUCGAAGAUACCAGCUGGCUGCAACUGUUUAUUAAAAACACAGCACUGUGCAAACACGAAAGUGGACGUAUACGGUGUGACGCCUGCCCGGUGCCGGAAGGUUAAUUGAUGGGGUCAGCGCAAGCGAAGCUCCUGAUCGAAGCCCCGGUAAACGGCGGCCGUAACUAUAACGGUCCUAAGGUAGCGAAAUUCCUUGUCGGGUAAGUUCCGACCUGCACGAAUGGCGUAAUGAUGGCCAGGCUGUCUCCACCCGAGACUCAGUGAAAUUGAACUCGCUGUGAAGAUGCAGUGUACCCGCGGCAAGACGGAAAGACCCCGUGAACCUUUACUAUAGCUUGACACUGAACAUUGAGCCUUGAUGUGUAGGAUAGGUGGGAGGCUUUGAAGCGUGGACGCCAGUCUGCGUGGAGCCGACCUUGAAAUACCACCCUUUAAUGUUUGAUGUUCUAACGUGGACCCGUAAUCCGGGUUGCGGACAGUGUCUGGUGGGUAGUUUGACUGGGGCGGUCUCCUCCUAAAGAGUAACGGAGGAGCACGAAGGUUGGCUAAUCCUGGUCGGACAUCAGGAGGUUAGUGCAAUGGCAUAAGCCAGCUUGACUGCGAGCGUGACGGCGCGAGCAGGUGCGAAAGCAGGUCAUAGUGAUCCGGUGGUUCUGAAUGGAAGGGCCAUCGCUCAACGGAUAAAAGGUACUCCGGGGAUAACAGGCUGAUACCGCCCAAGAGUUCAUAUCGACGGCGGUGUUUGGCACCUCGAUGUCGGCUCAUCACAUCCUGGGGCUGAAGUAGGUCCCAAGGGUAUGGCUGUUCGCCAUUUAAAGUGGUACGCGAGCUGGGUUUAGAACGUCGUGAGACAGUUCGGUCCCUAUCUGCCGUGGGCGCUGGAGAACUGAGGGGGGCUGCUCCUAGUACGAGAGGACCGGAGUGGACGCAUCACUGGUGUUCGGGUUGUCAUGCCAAUGGCACUGCCCGGUAGCUAAAUGCGGAAGAGAUAAGUGCUGAAAGCAUCUAAGCACGAAACUUGCCCCGA
rnacentral:rRNA from 1 species